rnacentral:rRNA from 1 species
GGCGAGGGGUCCUAGCGUUGUUCGGAAUCACUGGGCGUAAAGCGUUUGUAGGCGGCUCUAUAAGUCGGGUGUGAAAUCCCACGGCUCAACCGUGGAAGUGCAUUCGAAACUGCAGAGCUUGAAUAUGGAAGAGGAGAGUAGAAUUCCUGGUGUAGUGGUGAAAUACGUAGAUAUCAGGAGGAAUACCGGUGGCGAAGGCGACUCUCUGGUCCAAUAUUGACGCUGAGAAACGAAAGUGCGGGGAUCAAACAGG